CAGCAGAUGGGGGGAGCCAGAAGGGAA
rnacentral:piRNA from 1 species